GACGAACGCUGGCGGCGUGCCUAAUACAUGCAAGUUGAGCGCUGAAGGUUGGUACUUGUACCCACUGGAUGAGCAGCGAACGGGUGAGUAACGCGUGGGGAAGCUGCCUUUUAGCGGGGGACAACAUUUGGAAACGAAUGCUAAUACCGCAUAAAAACUUUAAACACAAGUUUUAAGUUUUAAAGAUGCAAUUGCAUCACUCAAAGAUGAUCCCGCGUUGUAUUAGCUAGUUGGUGAGGUAAAGGCUCACCAAGGCGAUGAUACAUAGCCGACCUGAGAGGGUGAUCGGCCACAAUGGGACUGGGACACGGCCCAAACUCCUACGGGAGGCAGCAGUAGGGAAUCUUCGGAAAUGGACGACAGUCUGACCGAGCAACGCCGCGGGAGUGAAGAAGGUUUUCGGAUCGUAAAACUCUGUUGGUAGAGAAGAACGUUGGUGAGAGUGGAAAGCUCAUCAAGUGACGGUAACUAACCAGAAAGGGACGGCUAACUACGUG
rnacentral:rRNA from 1 species